CCCUUGCGGGGUCCGAGUUGUAAUUUGCAGAGGAUGCUUUCGGCGAGGCGCCUUCCGAGUGCCCUGGAACGGGCCGCCGUAGAGGGUGAGAGCCCCGUACGGUUGGAUGCCGAGCCGGUGUAAAGCUCCUUCGACGAGUCGAGUAGUUUGGGAAUGCUGCUCUAAACGGGAGGUAAACCCCUUCUAAAGCUAAAUACCGGCCAGAGACCGAUAGCGCACAAGUAGAGUGAUCGAAAGAUGAAAAGCACUUUGAAAAGAGAGUCAAACAGCACGUGAAAUUGUUGAAAGGGAAGCGCUUGUGGCCAGACUUGCGCCUGCGGCUCAGCCGUCCCUCGUGGGCGGUGCACUCCGCCGGGCGCAGGCCAGCAUCAGCUCGCGGCAGGGAAGAAAGGCGGCGGGAACGUGGCUCUUCGGAGUGUUAUAGCCCGCCWUACGCCCUCUGCGGGCUGAGGUACGCWUCCGCAAGGAUGCUGGCGUAAUGGCCAUCAGCGACCCGUCUUGAAACACGGACCAAGGAGUCGUCCUAGCAUGCGAGUGUUCGGGUGCAAAACCCCUACGCGCAAUGAAAGUGAACGGAGGUGAGAGCU
rnacentral:rRNA from 2 species